AAGUCAUCGCUUUUUUUUUGGAACGGGUAAUUCUAUUUUUUAUAUUUUUAUUCAGAAUGUCAUUCUCUAUCAGGCAUUGGUGCGGAACUGAUUUCUGACUGGCACCAGACAGGCCUGAUGGACUUGCUAGAGUGUGAUGAGGUAAUCCCUUCCAGCAAUGUCUCCCACCCCUGGGGGAAGCUGACCGGUGUGAACCGUCCCCCAUGGCACCCUCUGCCAUACAGUGGCAAGUGGUGAAGUCUGAGCUCGAACCCGCACUGUGGAGCAACACUUUUCCUAACGUCACAGUGUCACUAUUAAUACCCUUUCAAGCAGGUCCAUGCAUCCACACAUUUGCCUUUAAAGUGUGAAAAGUAUGAAAUGUUCAUGUCUCACACAUGACUGUGCUGCUGUGAUCUUAAUGUGGGUGUUGUGAAACUCAUACCUACUUAUACCUACUGUUUCUGCUUUAUUUGUAUGAAUCACACACACACUGUUCCAGAACCGAUACCUUAGCUGUAGUGUAAGCAGUUUCAAUUCUGUUGGAAGAGGCUGCUGACGGGCAUUGUAGAAGAACAAGGUUUUAUCUUCAGCUUCAGUCCGAACCCUGAAGAUUGGGUUCUAUGGUGGUCCAAAAGUGUAAGCGAUUGUCUACAAUGCCAACCCACAUGAACUGCUGCAGCGUGAGUUUGAAUCUUAUCUACUGCUCUUUCAGCAAAUACUCUAUCUUUCACCACUUUCCUGUCAAAUAAAUCACCAAUUGCCUGGAAAAAUAAUAUUUAAACAAAUCUGGAAAUUGACUUGGUCUGUCCAGAACCUUUCACCUUUGCACACCGAAAAACUCCCCAGUUCCUAUGGUGGUAUGAUCGCAGUCGUUGUCUUGCCGUCCAAUCGGGACAAUUUAUCAGACAAGAUGAUUUUGUACCCUUCAUAAUUUAUUCUGCUACAGUCGCCAACAGUUACAUGAUCAAUCUACCCAAGUGUGCCAGUCCCUGUGACAGCAAUACAUGCUGAAGCCAUUAAAAACCCUCCACCAUAUUUCACAGAUGAACUACUGUGAUAUGGAUCUUGAACAGUUCCUUUGAUCUUGCCAUCAGAUCAAUUAGAUUUUAGAAAAGGAACCCAGCCAUCCUGCUUUUAUUUGACUAACUAGUGGUAGUCUAAGUCUUCUGAGGGCGGUCCUGUAGUUGCUGACACAUCAACACCUGCCUUCUGGAGAGUGUUCCUGAUCUGACAGUGUUUUCUUUCUUAAUUAUGGUGAGCAUUUUCCUGUCAUCCACUGUAUACAUUUGUUUUCCAAAAAUGUUAAUUAACAUUGGUCUUUGGUUAACAAACACGAGCAGCUGUCUUAGCAAGGGAAACAGGAUUUUCGAGCUAUACACACUAUACCCUAUGAUUAUACUUUUGCAAGGCACUGCAUGUCUGGUUUGUCAUUUCAGAGGCAUACAAUUAAAUAUAUCUGAAGAUAAACCUUGUUGCGUUUGAGUAUAUAUAUAUAUUUUUUUAAAUCAAUGCCUUCAGGAUUACCAAGGGGUUUAAAUGUGAGAGAGCCUUCAAACGCAUGCAUAAAUUUAGACUAUAUCAGCAGGUCCGGGCUCCCCAUACUGUCUUCUUCGAUGCUCUCUAAAAAUAUUCCCGGGUGUUAUGUAAAUGUCUUGAACUGAUGCAUUCUUAUUGAUUCAUGUAUUGAGUCCCCAUGUUUAGAUAAGAAAAGGAAUGUCGGUUGUGCUGUGGUAAAGGAAGUAUGUGGUGCUGAGGCAAACGUGAAUCUUUAGCAGGAUGGGGCUAGAUGCAGAACAAUGGGUCUUAGGACAGGAUAGAGGAAGAUACACAACAGGGGGUACGAUGGAUAAGUAACGUGUUGUUUUUGUGGUAUGACCAUGCAGAUUCUUAUCCCCACCCAUUCCACUGUAAGUAUCGAAUGUAUU
ensembl:lncRNA